GUGAGGGCCGACCAGCAAUGUCUCAUUUCCAACUCUAAGCACUGGCCAACUUCUCGGAUGCCUUCCUUUCCACUAGAUGAUGAUGACGCUGUGUAUUUCCAUGAGCGAUGAAGAAAACGCCUUAUCACAGUCAAGUCAUCAUCAGCUUCUCGGUGCACUGUUUGAGAUGAAUUCAGCUAAAGUUGGCUGGGUGCUGAUUAGACACUAGACUCUGUCUUCUAUGAAACAAAACAAAGCAAAACAAAGCCUAUUCUCUAGGUCUUCUUCUACUUACGAAGGACAAGUUACAGGAAGUACUCUCCUCCUAUUAAAAAAAAAAAUAGAAAACGG
rnacentral:lncRNA from 10 species